rnacentral:rRNA from 1 species
AACGAACGCUGGCGGCAUGCCUAACACAUGCAAGUCGAACGAGACCUUCGGGUCUAGUGGCGCACGGGUGCGUAACGCGUGGGAACCUGCCCUUAGGUUCGGAAUAACUCCCCGAAAGGGGUGCUAAUACCGGAUAAUGUCUUCGGACCAAAGCUUUAUCGCCUUUGGAUGGGCCCGCGUUUGUUUAGCUAGUUGGUAGGGUAAAAGCCUGCCAAGGCGACGAUCCAUAGCUGGUCUGAGAGGAUGAUCAGCCACACUGGGACUGAGACACGGCCCAGACUCCUACGGGAGGCAGCAGUGGGGAAUAUUGGGCAGUGGGCGAAAGGCUGAGACAGCGAUGCCGCGUGGGUGAUGAAGGCCUUGGGGUUGUAAAGCUCUUUUAACCGGGAUGAUAAUGACAGUACCGGGAGAAUAAGCUCCGGCUAACUCCGUG